rnacentral:rRNA from 1 species
AGCGAACGCUGGCGGCAGGCCUAACACAUGCAAGUCGAGCGGCCGUAGCAAUACGGCAGCGGCAGACGGGAGAGUAACACGUGGGAACGCGCCCUUCGGUUCGGGAUAACUCAGGGAAACUUGGGCUAAUACCGGAUACGCCCUUACGGGGAAAGAUUUAUCGCCGAAGGAACGGCCCGCGUCCGAUUAGCUUGUUGGUGAGGUAACGGCUCACCAAGGCGACGAUCGGUAGCUGGUCUGAGAGGAUGACCAGCCUCACUGGGACUGAGACACGGCCCAGACUCCUACGGGAGGCAGCAGUGGGAAUAUUGGACAAUGGGCGCAAGCCUGAUCCAGCCAUGCCGCGUGGGUGAUGAAGGCCCUAGGGUUGUAAAGCCCUUUCAGCGGGGAAGAUAAUGACGGUACCCGCAGAAGAAGCCCCGGCUAACUUCGUGCCAGCAGCCGCCGUAAGAC